GAACAGGUCUGGCCGGUCUCUUCAGGAUCCGCUGGUUGACGUCGCUUAGCGUCGUCAUGCGGCCAUCGUCUAACCCCAGCGGCUUGACGACUGCAAAAGGGUACAGCACUCCGACGCCUCUCUUCUCCUCCCCUGAAAGGAACUGUAAGCUGAAGUGAAUGCCAAACUGUAAAAUCUACUGCAGAUUAGCUGAAAGCCUGCCCAUAAGCAACUAGUUUGGCCGGAUGCCAAUACGUUCAAAAAAUCGCAAUCUUUGCUGCGGCUGCAACUGCUGCUCUGUAGCCUGUACUCGGCGCACCAGUGCCUGUCAGUGUCUCAGCAGCGCACACAUGCGCGGGCGAAGUAAAUGGCUGCCCACCGGUCAGCUACCCAACCCAACCCACCUGCCAGCAGCGAGGGACAAGCAGAGGCGGGCGCCGUCGUGGCGGCCGCGCCCGCGCCCGCACGGGAGGGCUCGCAGCAGCCGACGCCGGGCAGCGGCCGCGAGCGAUCGUCGCGACGCGCUGCCGCGCGGUGGGGCGCCCCCGUCCCCGCCCCUGCAGUCGCGUUUUGCAGCCGCGGCUGCAGGGGAGCAACGCCCCGCACGGUGGCGGGGAAGCGAGGACGAGGAGGAGGGGGGACUACCGCGGCCGCCUCCUCUCCUCCGCGCCGCGCCGCUGGCGCUGGCGCUGGCAGCACCUGCGUGCUCGGGGCCCUCUGCUCCUCCUCCCUGCCCGACGCACCUGCCCCGUCGUCCCCUGCACGUCCGAGCUUUAAACUGGAGGGUGAUGUGGCGAUGUGCACGUAUUGAAAAGGGCGUGUUGAAUCACCUGAGACAAAACUGCAGCAUAUCUCCGCCUCCGGGAUCGUGGUAUUCAAAUCCUGCCGGAGAUCUCCGUCGCCGCCUCCUCCCUCGGCGCUAGAAUCCCAGAAGCUCUGCAGGCCGAGAACAACCGGACAAGCGACAACGCUACAAGUUAGAAAAGAGGAACAUGACAAGGGCGCCACUGCGACGAGACAUGGCUGCGCCAACUCUUUUGUACGUAUGUUUAUCGCUCGGCACGACGGCGAAGCUACAGCCUUUCCGCUUCGUUUGGUGAAUCGAUAUCGACACUGUGACUAGAGUACUAGAAGAUGGUCAUGGACUUGCAUUGCAUUUGCAUUGAGGCUAGUAUUGGGAACAAAACAGCCUACACUCAAUGCUUCUCUAUGAGUUGCCAAUGUUUCAUCCAUUGAGAUUUGAGUGCUCAAGUAAUCACUAA